CUGGACAGGCAAACUGACGCCUAUCGGAUAAGUACGGCUCUGCCCCGCAUUCAGUGGGUAUGUAUUUGGGCGAAUGGAUCAACUUAGAAUCGUCCAACGCGUUGGACCGUUUCACAGACUUCGGCAAAACGCUUCGGUCAAACGGUCCAACGCCAACUAGAGAUCCUGUCGGACAAAAGCGAAACUUAGCCUAUAUGUAAACACUGUCAAACGCGAAAACCGUCUGCUGAAAAAUCGUUUAUUGAAUUUUAGAAAAAAAAACAAAGCAAACAGAACCUGGAAUUGGAAAGAAAUUUUUUAGAUUUACUAAAUUGAAGAUUCUGGAAAUUAACACUAAAUUGUUGGAAAAGUCGGGCUUAUUUUGCCGGGCUUAUUUUCAAGCCCCACAAUUUGACAAAAAUGGAAAAUUAUUCGUUUUCUUGGCAAAUCAGCUGUUUCUUACCUAUAUUGAAUUUCCCGAUGGGGAUUCUGUCUAGAUGAGAUGAUAUAGUGGGAAAGCUAUACCCUUCCCACUUUUCCAUUUUAGGAAAAAUUUCAGAUUUUCCUAAAAAUACAUAAUUGCGAUUCAGAAAACAUGGAAAUCACUGCCAUGCUAAUCAUAUGUAUUGUUGAUCUGUUUGAAUACAAGAUGGAGAAGCA